GAUGAACGCUGGCGGCGUGCCUAAUACAUGCAAGUCGAGCGAACGGACGAGAAGCUUGCACUUCUGUUGUUAGCGGUGGACGGGUGAGUAACACGUGGAUAACCUACCUAUAAGACUGGGAUAAUUUCUGGAAACCGGAGCUAAUACCGGAUUAUCUUUUCAUCCGUAUUGUUCAAGAGUCAAAGAAGGUUUUGCUUUCGUUUAUAGAUGUAUCCGCGCUGCUUUAGCUAGUUGGGAAGGUAACGGAUUACCAAGGCAAAGAUGCAUAGCCGACCUGAGAGGGGGGUCAGCCACACCGGAACUGUGACACGGUCCGGACCACUAUGGGACGCGACGGUGGAGUAACGACCGUAAGGGGCGAGACGCUAACGGAGCAAAGCCGCGUGGGUGGUAGAAGUCCGCGGUUAGGAAAACUAUGUUAUUAGUGAAGAACAAAUGUGUAAGUAACUGGGCACAUCAUGACGGUACCUAAUCAGAAAGCCACGGCUAACUACGUG
rnacentral:rRNA from 1 species